GAUGAAGAACGUAGCGAAAUGCGAUAAGUAGUGUGAAUUGCAGAAUUCAGUGAAUCAUCGAAUCUUCGAACGCACAUUGCGCCCCUUGGUAUUCCAUGGGGCAUGCCUGUUCGAGCGUCAUUUGUACCUUCAAGCUCUGCUUGGUGUUGGGUGUUUGUCUCGCCUCUGCGUGUAGACUCGCCUCAAAACAAUUGGCAGCCGGCGUAUUGAUUUCGGAGCGCAGUACAUCUCGCGCUUUGCACUCAUAACGACGACGUCCAAAAGUACAUUUUUACACUCUUGACCUCGGAUCAGGUAGGGAUACCCGCUGAACUUAAGCAUAUCAAUAAGCGGAGGA
rnacentral:misc_RNA from 1 species